CGGGGUGAGUAAUGCUUGGGAAUCUAGCUUAUGGAGGGGGAUAACUACGGGAAACUGUAGCUAAUACCGCGUAGAAUCGAGAGAUGAAAGUGUGGGACCUUCGGGCCACAUGCCAUAGGAUGAGCCCAAGUGGGAUUAGGUAGUUGGUGAGGUAAAGGCUCACCAAGCCGACGAUCUCUAGCUGGUCUGAGAGGAUGACCAGCCACACUGGGACUGAGACACGGUCCAA
rnacentral:rRNA from 1 species